rnacentral:rRNA from 1 species
GAGCCAGACUCCUACGGGAGGCAGCAGUGAGGAAUAUUGGUCAAUGGCCGGAAGGCUGAACCAGCCAAGCCGCGUGAGGGAGGAAGGCGCAGAGCGUCGCAGACCUCUUUUGCCGGGGGACAAAAGGCCGGACGGGUCCGGUUCUGAGGGUACCCGGAGAAAAAGCAUCGGCUAACUCCGUGCCAGCAGCCGCGGUAAUACGGAGGAUGCGAGCGUUAUUCGGAUUUAUUGGGUUUAAAGGGUGCGUAGGCGGACUGGAAAGUCAGCGGUAAAAUCGAGAGGCUCAACCUCUUUCCGCCGUUGAAACUGUCGGUCUUGAGUGGGCGAGAAGUAUGCGGAAUGCGUGGUGUAGCGGUGAAAUGCAUAGAUAUCACGCAGAACUCCGAUUGCGAAGGCAGCAUACCGGCGCCCGACUGACGCUGAGGCACGAAAGCGUGGGUAUCGAACAGGAUUAGAUACCCUAGUA